UGGCCCGUCAGUUUCAGAGACUAAUGUGUUGGGUAGCAGUGAAGGCAACUUGUCUUCGGCGGGGAGAAAAUACGCUACAGAUCGCUAGCUUCCACUCUUGGGGAAGGGUUGGUGACCAGAAACCCUCGUCUCCCAACUGGAUCGUCGUCGCUUCCCCGGACCUGCUCUCCUGCUGUUUUGUCAUCGCCGUAGUUUCCUUUAUCGUGGGCGAAUCUUUC
rnacentral:lncRNA from 1 species